UAAUUUUUCGAAAAAAUUUGACGAUAUAGUCAAAUUUGUAUGUAUAUUCGAAGGGAGGGUAUAAGAGAAAUUGCGACGUCUUGUCUAAGAAGACGUCAUUACUUCCUCUCCUUAGGGAGCUCAAUAACAGUAGACCGAUAAAUCAAUCUGGUCACCUAUCUACUUGAUAUAUUGCCUGAUUUACAUUCACCAGAUUUGCAUUGAAGGUGACUAACGACGGGUACCUCAAACGUUCGCGGGGCAAAACUAACCGUGAUUCGUUUCACAAACUUUAAGAGAGCAAAGAUCAAAACUUUGAAGGAAACGAGGUAUCAUCGUCGUACUUAUGAAUUUUAAUUUUCCAAGUUGAUGUCAAGUCCGGUGAAUCAUCUCUCCCCCUCUUCUUAGAUUUUGAUCACGUGGCUUUAUUUACUUUCGAGAAAUCGAACUAUCGAAUUUCGAUUAGAAUCAAACGUGUUUAUAACGUGC